UUCACAGAGAAUCAAUCAGACAGGUGAGAUCAUUAGUUUCAUUCAGUCUGGAGGUUCAGUUGAACAGUUGUUGUGUUGUGGAGAGAACACUGUGAGGACAAAGUGCUGGAGGAGGUUGAUCUGCAAACAAACAUGUUUGACUUUGUCUUUGGUUGAGAAUAAUGAAGAUAAAGCAAACAGAUUAAAAUCUGGAGUCAGGCCUCUGUGUCCGACAGCUGAGUCAGGUAGGGGUUGUUGAAGAAGUCUCUCAGGAGGCUCUGCACCCGGGCGGGUCGGGGGCCCGGAGCAUCAGGGACCAUCGCCGGGUUCAGAUCCAGGUCCAGGACCUUUGCUUGGCUGAGAGCGGCGGAGCGGGUCUGGGCAGUGUGCAGCCCCUCGAUGGCGCUGGACAGCCAGAUGAGCCUCUUCAGACUCUGGAUGUUUCGGCCACGGUCGUGCAACAGCUGGUGUUCGCUCACAGCUCGGCGGCUGCAGGGAGACGGAGGAGAGAUCAGUCAGUCAGGAUCAGUUCAUCCUCAGUUCACAACUCAAUCAACAUCCAACGAUCAAGAUGUGAAACAUGUGGAAGCAAAGACUGAGACUAAAUACGACGAGCAGCAUGACGACGAGCCACUGCACAGAUCUGUGGGACAUCUUCACGUUCUGCAGCACAACAACAAGAAACCCACAUCACGACGUGUCAUGAAAAGAAGAAACAACAAGAAGCGUCGUCCAUUUACUAGUUGACAACAAUUUUAACUUGUGACCUCUUCAAAUGUAGAACGACCGAUUGUCAGUUUAUUUAUUUCGGGGUUGUGACCAGUUUGAAUUCAAAGUUUGAAG